rnacentral:rRNA from 1 species
UCGAGGGGCAGCAUUUCAGUUUGCUUGCAAACUGGAGAUGGCGACCGGCGCACGGGUGAGUAACACGCUAUCCAACCUGCCGAUAACUCGGGGAUAGCCUUUCGAAAGAAAGAUUAAUACCCGAUGGUAUAAUCAGACCGCAUGGUCUUNUUAUUAAAGAAUUUCGGUUAUCGAUGGGGAUGCGUUCCAUUAGGCAGUUGGUGAGGUAACGGCUCACCAAACCUUCNAUGGAUAGGGGUUCUGAGAGGAAGGUCCCCCACAUUGGAACUGAGACACGGUCCAAACUNAUACGGGAGGCAGCAGUGAGGAAUAUUGGUCAAUGGGCGCAGGCCUGAACCAGCCAAGUAGCGUGAAGGAUGACUGCCCUAUGGGUUGUAAACUUCUUUUAUAUGGGAAAUAAAGUUUUCCACGUGUGGAAUUUUGUAUGUACCAUAUGAAUAAGGAUCGGCUAACUUCCGUGCCAGCAGCCGCGGUAAUACGGAGGAUCCGAGCGUUAUCCGGAUUUAUUGGGUUUAAAGGGAGCGUAGGUGGACAGUUAAGUCAGUUGUGAAAGUUUGCGGCUCAACCGUAAAAUUGCAGUUGAUACUGGCUGUCUUGAGUACAGUAGAGGUGGGCGGAAUUCGUGGUGUAGCGGUGAAAUGCUUAGAUAUCACGAAGAACUCCGAUUGCGAAGGCAGCUCACUGGACUGCAACUGACACUGAUGCUCGAAAGUGUGGGUAUCAAACAGGAUUAGAUACCCUGGUAGUCCACACAGUAAACGAUGAAUACUCGCUGUUUGCGAUAUACAGUAAGCGGCCAAGCGAAAGCAUUAAGUAUUCCACCUGGGGAGUACGCCGGCAACGGUGAAACUCAAAGGAAUUGACGGGGGCCCGCACAAGCGGAAGGAACAUGUGGUUUAAUUCGAUGAUACGCGAGGAACCUUACCCGGGCUUAAAAUUGCAUUUGAAUAUUUUGGAAACAGNNUAGCCGUAAGGCAAAUGUGAAGGUGCUGCAUGGUUGUCGUCAGCUCGUGCCGUGAGGUGUCGGCUUAAGUGCCAUAACGAGCGCAACCCUUAUCUUUAGUUACUAACAGGUCAUGCUGAGGACUCUAGAGAGACUNCCGUCGUAAGAUGUGAGGAAGGUGGGGAUGACGUCAAAUCAGCACGGCCCUUACGUCCGGGGCUACACACGUGUUACAAUGGGGGGUACAGAAGGCAGCUACCUGGUGACAGGAUGCUAAUCCCAAAAGCCUCUCUCAGUUCGGAUCGAAGUCUGCAACCCGACUUCGUGAAGCUGGAUUCGCUAGUAAUCGCGCAUCAGCCAUGGCGCGGUGAAUACGUUCCCGGGCCUUGUACACACCGCCCGUCAAGCCAUGAAAGCCGGGGGUACCUGAAGUACGAACCGCAAGGAG